rnacentral:rRNA from 1 species
CCAAGCGCAGGCCUACCAUGCAGUCGACGAACUCUUCGGAGUUAGUGGCGGACGGGUGAGUAACACGUGGGAACGUGCCUUUUGGUUCGGAAUAACUCAGGGAAACUUGUGCUAAUACCGAAUGUGCCCUUCGGGGGAAAGAUUUAUCGCCAUUAGAGCGGCCCGCGUCUGAUUAGCUAGUUGGUGAGGUAACGGCUCACCAAGGCGACGAUCAGUAGCUGGUCUGAGAGGAUGAUCAGCCACACUGGGACUGAGACACGGCCCAGACUCCUACGGGAGGCAGCAGUGGGGAAUCUUGCGCAAUGGGCGAAAGCCUGACGCAGCCAUGCCGCGUGAAUGAUGAAGGUCUUAGGAUUGUAAAAUUCUUUCACCGGGGACGAUAAUGACGGUACCCGGAGAAGAAGCCCCGGCUAACUUCGUGCCAGCACCGUCCGGUAAUAA